rnacentral:misc_RNA from 1 species
AAGUCGUAACAAGGUAUCCGUAGGUGAACCUGCGGAUGGAUCAUUAGUGAAUGCGGCGAGCCGCUCACCCGGCUCCGCCUGCAACCCACCCUUGUGCAAUGUACCGUACCCUGGCAGUGCGCCGUCAAACGCGCGCUGCCGAAGGGAGGCGCCCUUUCGGGGGUGUUUUCCGAACCAACUCUGUUAAACAACGACUGAAUUCCAAGUAUUCUAAUGUUAAAACAACUUUUGACAACGGAUCUCUUGGCUCUC